ensembl:lncRNA
CAGCGAUCUGACACGCGUGGUUCUUCUGCAGCGGAAAUAUAAACCAAAGGACAACCAUGAAGACCUUGGCAUUGCUGACACUUCUGCUGACCAUGAAUGGUUCUGCAGUGGGACAAAUGAUGAAAUCUAAUAAGACGGGCUUUGUUGGACAGGAUGUACUUUUAUCAUGCAACUGUUCCAAUGACCCCAAAGAACUGAUAUGGCAGAAAGAUCAGAGAGUAGUGAAUGUUCAUCCGCAUGACAAAAGCAUCAUAGAUGAUUCCUACGUAGAUAGGACGCAACUCUUCCUAAACAAGGAGAAGAGAAACUGCUCCCUGCUGCUCCACAACUUCUCUUCAGAAGAUGAAGGACUGUACACCUGUCAUGCCCUAGUCAGUGUUGGUGACAACCUCUGGUCAAAGAGGUCAUCAGAAGUUAAUCUAACAAGUGAGUUAUCUAAUUAUGAAUUGAUUUAUUCAAGCAGAUCAAUAGUUAAUAUCUUGAAAGGAAACAGCAAGCCUCUUCCUGUUGUACACUUUCAGUGUGCUUCCCUUUUCAAAGUGCAAGUCUGCUUAGCUGUAGUCUACUAGGACUGGUUAGAUAAUGACGUGUAAGAGACUAACAGGUUGAAAAAAAGCUGCUAAAAAGCAGAACUUUCAUGACAACUAAAGGAAGUUGAAAUUGUUGCCACUGCAGCAGAACCGAAAGUUAUUGCCACCAGAUAAUAGCCUAUGUCAAUAUCAAAAACAUCAUUGUCAUCAUCUGCAGUGCAAACAGCCACAAUAAAAUAGCUUAUCUAUUGAAUGGUAUCAGGGACUAAAGAACAAAAACAGCACUGGAGUUGUGUUAAAGUAUAAAUAAUGAUGUAGGCUCUGAGCUAAACGGUGCCCGUGUUUCUUUAAUUAUUUUAAUGCAUCACAAAUUGGGAUUGUAAGCUGUUAUGUGUAGUAGUGUACAGAUAUUGAUGGCAUUGAUUUCUCAUAAUAUAUCUCUUUUACCAGUGUCUGAAAUGAAGAACGACUCUAAAACAAAUGGCCAAACUGGAGGCAGUUCUGUCACAGCUGUGUCUGUUAGUGUUCCCAUAUUGGUAGUAGUGCUUAUACUGGCAGCUAGCCUGCUUCUAACCCUACUGAUCAGAAGACGACAUCGGACAAACACGGUAAUCAGUCUUUUGUCACUAAAUGACACAAAACAUCAUAGAAAAAUAAAAAAUCUCCACAAACAUUAAAAUAUCUAAAAUACACUAGCCUAAGGGGUUGUUCACACUGGAUGCCCGUUUUUUUUUUUUCAAAUUAAUUUUCUAUGUAAACAUAAACCAUUGCACUGCAUCUUACUGUUUAUUCAGCGUCUCACGGCAUUAGCGUCACAUAUUUGAGACACCAUGUUAAGCUAAAAACAGAUGAACUUAAAAUGUGCUUCAUGACCGUUGCACUCGAUCUUCUUUUAAUUGCAAGAAUAUUACCCUUAAUGACAACGUUUGAGUUUUGCCAUGGUGCACUAAAGAAAUUGAUUUUAUGACCUCUUUAUAUACAUUUCUCCUAUUAUUAUUUCCAUUUGAAUGAACCGUUUUAGUUGUAAAGUAAAACCUCUUUCUGAAGUAGCCAAAUUCCUUGAAUAGUCCUCACGGCAAAAGUAAACCUACACCAGUUGCAGUCACAUAAUUUUAGAGCACAGCUUUAGCGCUUAAGGUCCUGUGUUUGACACGUUUAGUCAUAGUACAUGAAACAUUUCCAAAAAGCUUGACUGUGAUUUCUUUAUUCUUUUUUGCUAUAGGACACUGGUUUACUGGCUGAGAGACCUAUGCUAAGGAAUGUGUGAAGUUCUCUUGCUUGACAGUUUAAUGGACUAACUUCUGUUGUAAUGCAAGGUCCUUCACAACAACAAUGGACAAUACGAGGCCUUAGCCCUAAACAAAUGCGUUUGCAUGUGGGCAUCACAUGGUGCGUGCCGAUCCGUCUCGCUUUGGGACAGAUCAAUGUGCAGUCUUUAGUUGUAACACUGUUUGAUUACCACUGAAUUGUGAAUACACUGUGAAUAUACAUUCUGUAGGCAUUACAGUUGUGUAACUUGACAAGAUUCUCCUUGUAGGAACUGUCUUUAUUCAUUCUUUGAAGAACAUGUAAUAGUAGGGGACGUGCAGUUUAUAUUUUGCCUUUUCCUCUCUCUUUGAGACACAUUGGUGGUCUCAAUCCUAAACAGGCUUUUCAAAUCACCUUAUUUUAUUGUUCAUAUGUGUACAGCAAUCAUUUACUAACACAUCAUGUAAGCUUCUUUACAUUUACUCUUGUAUGGGUUGAUUUCCUCAGCCUGUGCUGAUUUUCAUUUAUGUGGAAGAAAUAUGUGGCACUCCCUAUGGGAUAUGUUUGCUUUUUUACUGUACUAAAUUUCAUUUACUUUUAAAUGAAUUCUGUAAAGUGCUUCAAACCUGCAGAGGCAAUAAACC